CCAGCUGCCACGCCUGCCACUUCACUACUGCCAUUACUUCGGUCACACCUCUGACUCGAGGCUUUUGGUGAGCCUUCUGACUCAAAACCUCAGAAAUGCUCGCAGUUUGAAUACCGCACGCUUUUUUCCCCUCUACGACCCCUUCAGCUGAACGUGGCUGUGUGUGCGCGUCCCCUUUAAGAGCGUGCUCCAGCCUCGGAGGGCAGCUAUUCACGAAGCAGGCUAGUAAAUAUAUCGAUAGGCUUAACGGCUGUAAUCGGGCAGCGCUGCUCAAACGCUGCGGCUCUGUAAUGUCUUAUAAGGGGACUGACAGAUAAACUUUAACCUAUCAUUUCAUCGGUUUUGACAGGACUACAACCUGGAAAACUGGUCAUCUCAACCAGAAUGGUGUUGUUUAUCGAUGGCACAUCACAUUUAAUAGACUCGCAUUUUUGACCGUUAGUCAGCAGUAAGUAAACGACGAGGGGCUUUUGCUUUCCAGAGCAGCCGUCGAGCUCACCAGGUGGAUUGUGACUGGUGCCUAAUCUUACCUGCACUGGCUGGAUGCUGACAUGUCCGCAGCAGCUGGCGAGCGACCCGGUGAGGGGGAAUGGCUCGUAAACUGAAGAAAAAGGCCGGUUUAGACUGUGGAGCUCACCCCUGCUCGCCGCUUGCAGUAGCCUGCUGAGCGGAGCGGUCACACGCACAUAUAUACGCCUCGGCGUGGAGGAGAAAGAGGUGGCGUGAUGGAGGAGGAGCUGUUCGGCUCGCGGGUUCUUUGAAAGGGGCUCGUCGCGCUAAUCCAAUUUUCUGACAGACUGCGCCGCUCGCUGACCCGCGAGCAGAGAGCCUGGAGACCUGGAGAGCUGGAGAACCGGAGAACUGUCAGCCGGCCAGCGGCACUGCAGCAACACGGACAUACCAAGUGGGCCCACCAGCCUGCUAUAAUACUCUGUUAUAGCGCCUAUACUCACAGUUACUCCCAGGGGUGCAGUAUUUCCAGAGGUGGCACUUACUCAGUUAGGCCUACGUGUAGCCUGGUCAAGUAAAAGUCUGGUGGAUUUGUACAUUCUUGAAUAUUUUUAAAUGUAUAAUAGUGUAACUUCUACUUGUACAUUUAACUGGUUCAUAUUUUAUUACUACACCACGUUAUGCAAAUUGGACUGAAGUGUCAUAAAUAUCAAUGUGUUUGUUUCUCAAUUAAACUCAUGGAUGGGAUUGUGUCUCAGGGCUCUUUGGAUCACUGAAGUCAAUCUCAGACACCUGUGAUAAUUAGUUUGCCAGGUGAGCCCAAUUAAAGGAAAACUACUUAAGAAGGAUGUUCCACAUUAUUAAGCAGGCCACAGAUUUCAAGCAACAUGGGAAGGAAAAAGGAUCUCUCUGCUGCCGAAAAGCGUCAGAUAGUGCAAUGCCUCGGACGAGGUAUGAAAACAUUAGAUAUUUCACGAAAAGUUAAGCGUGAUCAUCGCACUGUGAAGAGAUUUGUGGCUGAUUCAGAGCCCAGACGGGUUCGUGCAGAUAAAGGCAGAAUGAGGAAGGUUUCUGCCAGGCAAGUCCAUCGGAUUAAGAGAGCAGCUGCUAAAAUGCCAUUACAAACCAGCAAACAGGUAUUUGAAGCUGCUGGUGCCUCUGGAGUCCCGAGAACCUCAAGGUGUAGGAUCCUUCAAAGGCUUGCUGUGGUGCCUAAACCUAUUUGGCCACCCCUGACCAGUGCUCACAAGCAGAACCGGUUGCAGUGGCCCAGACAUACAUGAAGACUAAUUUCCAAACAGUCCUGUUUACUGAUGAGUGUCGUGCAACCCUGGAUGGUCCAGAUGGAUGGAGUAGUGGAUGGCUGGUGGAUGGCCACCAUGUCCCAACAAGGCUGCGACGUCAGCAAGGAGGUGGCGGAGUCAUGUUUUGGGCCGGGAUCAUGGGGAGAGAGCUGGUAGGCCCCUUUAGGGUCCCUGAAGGUGUGAAAAUGACCUCGGCAAAGUAUAUGGAGUUUCUGACUGACCACUUUCUUCCAUGGUACAAAAAGAAGAACCGUGCCUUGCGGAGCAAAAUCAUCUUCAUGCAUGACGAUGCAUCUCAUGCUGCAAGGAAUAACUCUGUGUCAUUGGCUGCUAUGGGCAUAAAAGGAGUGAAACUCAUGGUGUGGCCACCAUCUUCCCCUGACCUCAACCCUAUAGAGAACCUUUGGAGUAUCAUCAAGCAAAAGAUCUAUGAGGGUGGGAGGCCGUUCACAUCAAACCAGCAGCUCUGGGAGGCUGUUCUGACAUCCUGCCAAGAAAUUCAAGCAGAAACUCUCCAAAAACUCACAGGUUCAAUGGAUGCAAGAAUUGUGAAGGUGAUAUCAAAGAAGGGUUCCUAUGUUAACAUGUAACUUGGCCUGUUAGGAUGUUUUUGAUUGAAAUGGCUUUUGAUUUCAGUGAAUGUGACCUCCUAAUGCUGCAAACUCAACAAAUGACCAGUUUCAGUUCUUUACAACCUAUAAAAUGUUUUGAAACUCUGCUGUGCAUAAUAAUUAGUAACAGUGCAUUUAGAGUUUUUUAUUUUUGAAGAAUAUGCUGUCAUCAUUGGGAGGUUUGUUCAAUAAAAUUCAAUUUAUACUCUAA